rnacentral:misc_RNA from 1 species
AACCAUAGAAACCUGCGGAGUACCUGCGGAGGGAUCAUUACCGAGUUAGGGUAGUCACUCACUGCCCGACCUCCCAACCCUGUGUCUAUCACACUUUGUUGCUUCGGCGGACCGGUUGACCAACUGGUCAUGACCGCCGGGGGCUGGCUCUGGCCCCCCUGGAGAGCGUCCGCCGAUGGCCCAACCACAAAACUCUUGUACCGAAACGUGUCGUCUGAAUUAUAUUUGAGAAAUCAAAAA